UACGUAGGGUGCGAGCGUUAAUCGGAAUUACUGGGCGUAAAGCGUGCGCAGGCGGCGCGUUAAGACAGGUGUGAAAGCCCCGAGCUUAACUUGGGAAUUGCGCUUGUGACUGCAUCGCUGGAGUGCGGCAGAGGGGGAUGGAAUUCCGCGUGUAGCAGUGAAAUGCGUAGAUAUGCGGAGGAACACCGAUGGCGAAGGCAAUCCCCUGGGCCUGCACUGACGCUCAUGCACGAAAGCGUGGGGAGCAAACAGG
rnacentral:rRNA from 1 species